rnacentral:tRNA from 1 species
CUCCCUGUCAGGGAAUCGAACCCUGGUCUCCCGCGCUUGUGCAUGCACUUGCUUGCCUUUGACAAGCGGAAAUCAUAGCCACUAGACCAACAAGGA